rnacentral:rRNA from 1 species
UGUCGCUAUUGGAGCCUCUAGAGUUUGAUCCUGGCUCAUAGGUCCUAACAAGGUAACCAGUAUUGGAUCCCCUGAGUUUGAUCCUGGCCCAAUAAGACUGAACAAGGUAACCGGAUUUGGUCCCCUACAGUUUAAUCUUUGGAACCGAAUGGUUCUAAAGUGAAAGAUGGUUUUGCUCUCCCUUAUUUAUGGCCCCGCCCCGUAUUAGCUAGUUGGUAAGGUAACGGCUUACCAAGGCAACGAUACGUAGCCGACCUGAGAGGGUGAUCGGCCACACUGGAACUGAGACACGGUCCAGACUCCUACGGGAGGCAGCAGUAGGGAAUCUUCCGCAAUGGGCGAAAGCCUGACGGAGCAACGCCGCGUGAGUGAUGAAGGGUUUCGGCUCGUAAAACUCUGUUAUUAGGGAAGAACAAACGUGUAAGUAACUGUGCACGUCUUGACGGUACCUAAUCAGAAAGCCACGGCUAACUACGUGCCAGCAGCCGCGGUAAUACGUAGGUGGCAAGCGUUAUCCGGAAUUAUUGGGCGUAAAGCGCGCGUAGGCGGUUUCUUAAGUCUGAUGUGAAAGCCCACGGCUCAACCGUGGAGGGUCAUUGGAAACUGGGAAACUUGAGUGCAGAAGAGGAAAGUGGAAUUCCAUGUGUAGCGGUGAAAUGCGCAGAGAUAUGGAGGAACACCAGUGGCGAAGGCGACUUUCUGGUCUGUAACUGACGCUGAUGUGCGAAAGCGUGGGGAUCAAACAGGAUUAGAUACCCUGGUAGUCCACGCCGUAACGAUGAGUGCUAAGUGUUAGGGGGUUUCCGCCCCUUAGUGCUGCAGCUAACGCAUUAAGCACUCCGCCUGGGGAGUACGACCGCAAGGUUGAGUUUCUUAAGUCUGAUGUGAAAGCCCACGGCUCAACCGUGGAGGGUCAUUGGAAACUGGGAAACUUGAGUGCAGAAGAGGAAAGUGGAAUUCCAUGUGUAGCGGUGAAAUGCGCAGAGAUAUGGAGGAACACCAGUGGCGAAGGCGACUUUCUGGUCUGUAACUGACGCUGAUGUGCGAAAGCGUGGGGAUCAAACAGGAUUAGAUACCCUGGUAGUCCACGCCGUAAACGAUGAGUGCUAAGUGUUAGGGGGUUUCCGCCCCUUAGUGCUGCAGCUAACGCAUUAAGCACUCCGCCUGGGGAGUACGACCGCAAGGUUGAAACUCAAAGGAAUUGACGGGGACCCGCACAAGCGGUGGAGCAUGUGGUUUAAUUCGAAGCAACGCGAAGAACCUUACCAAAUCUUGACAUCCUUUGAAAACUCUAGAGAUAGAGCCUUCCCCUUCGGGGGACAAAGUGACAGGUGGUGCAUGGUUGUCGUCAGCUCGUGUCGUGAGAUGUUGGGUUAAGUCCCGCAACGAGCGCAACCCUUAAGCUUAGUUGCCAUCAUUAAGUUGGGCACUCUAGGUUGACUGCCGGUGACAAACCGGAGGAAGGUGGGGAUGACGUCAAAUCAUCAUGCCCCUUAUGAUUUGGGCUACACACGUGCUACAAUGGACAAUACAAAGGGCAGUUAAACCGCGAGGUCAUGCAAAUCCCAUAAAGUUGUUCUCAGUUCGGAUUGUAGUUUGCAACUCGACGACAAGUAGUAACAAUGGAACCUAAUUGGAGAUCAGCAGGGUUUGACCAAUGCGUUCCAAGUUGUAACAAGGUACCCCGUUCUGGCUCCUAGGAGUUUAACCCCGGCUCAGCAAGUCGUAACAAGGUAACCAGUAUGGCUCCUCUAGAGU